CAGGCUCAGAGCGAUGGAGGAACGUUCUCAGCAUCCCCUGGAGGCAGGCUCUGAAGCCAAGAAGUCGACCUCUGAACUUCCAUGCUCUUUAGUGUUGAAAGAAGACCACAGACGGAGCAAGGCUGUAAGCUCCUGGAGUAUGAGAGAUGUGCCCUGGACCAUACUUGGCCUCCCAGCCCUAGUCUCCAGUGAGGGUCUUGAAAGUGCUGUGAUGAUGACAGCAAGACAGGGGGAUCCAGGGAAGAACACUGGCAGCAACUCAUACAUCUUGAACACUCAGCCCAGAGCUGCUAUCAGUUCCUCACCUGCGUCACCUGGAUUCAUCCUCACCACCAGCCCAUGAGGGAAGAGCUCUAUCAUCUGCAUCUCACAGAGAAGGGAAGCGAG